rnacentral:rRNA from 1 species
GGACCCACCUGAUUCCAUGCCGAACUCAGAAGUGAAACGCAGUAGCGCCGAUGGUAGUGUGGGGCUUCCCCAUGUGAGAGUAGGACAUCGCCAGGC